rnacentral:tRNA from 1 species
ACGGGCUUGCCGGACGGCCUGGACGGGUCGGACGGCUUGGGCUUGUCCGACGGCUUCGGGGGGUCCGACGGCUUCGGCCCGUC